GGUCAAGCGAAUAAGCGCACACGGUGGAUGCCUUGGCGGUCAGAGGCGAUGAAGGACGUGGCAGCCUGCGAAAAGUAUCGGGGAGCUGGCAACAAGCUUUGAUCCGGUAAUGUCCGAAUGGGGAAACCCACCCGCUUGCGGGUAUCCUGCAGUGAAUACAUAGCUGCUGGAAGCGAACCUGGUGAACUGAAAUAUCUAAGUAACCAGAGGAAAAGAAAUCAACCGAGAUUCCGUAAGUAGCGACGAGCGAACGCGGACUAGCCCUUAAGCUGAUUUGGUUCUAGGAAAACGCUCUGGAAAGAGCGGCCAUAGAAGGUGAUAGCCCUGUAUCUGAAAGGGCCAUUUCAGUGAAGACGAGUAGGGCGGGGCACGUGAAACCCUGUCUGAAC
rnacentral:rRNA from 1 species